rnacentral:rRNA from 1 species
ACUCCUACGGGAGGCAGCAGUGAGGAAUAUUGGUCAAUGGAGGGAACUCUGAACCAGCCAUCCCGCGUGUAGGAAGACGGCCUUAUGGGUUGUAAACUACUUUUGAUACAGGAAGAAACGUACCCUCGUGAGGGUGCCUGACGGUACUGUAGGAAUAAGCACCGGCUAACUCCGUGCCAGCAGCCGCGGUAAUACGGAGGGUGCAAGCGUUACUCGGAAUCACUGGGCGUAAAGAGCGUGUGGCGGAUAGAUAAGUCAGGAGUGAAAUCCUAUGGCUCAACCAUAGAACUGCUCUUGAAACUGUCAAUCUAGAAUGUGGGAGAGGUAGAUGGAAUUUCUGGUGUAGGGGUAAAAUCCGUAGAGAUCAGAAGGAAUACCGAUUGCGAAGGCGAUCUACUGGAACAUAAUUGACGCUGAGACGCGAAAGCGUGGGAGCAAACAGGAUUAGAUACCCUGGUAGACUGUCAU